rnacentral:rRNA from 1 species
ACGGUCCUAAGGUAGCGAAAUUCCUUGUCGGGUAAGUUCCGACCUGCACGAAUGGCAUAAUGAUGGCCAGGCUGUCUCCACCCGAGACUCAGUGAAAUUGAAAUCGCCGUGAAGAUGCGGUGUACCCGCGGCUAGACGGAAAGACCCCGUGAACCUUUACUAUAGCUUGACACUGAACAUUGAAUUUUGAUGUGUAGGAUAGGUGGGAGACUUUGAAGUAGUCACGCCAGUGAUUAUGGAGUCGUCCUUGAAAUACCACCCUUUAACGUUUGAUGUUCUAACGAAGAUUACGAAACGUGGUCUCGGACAGUGUCUGGUGGGUAGUUUGACUGGGGCGGUCUCCUCCCAAAGAGUAACGGAGGAGCACGAAGGUUUGCUAAUGACGGUCGGACAUCGUCAGGUUAGUGCAAUGGUAUAAGCAAGCUUAACUGCGAGACAGACAAGUCGAGCAGGUACGAAAGUAGGUCAUAGUGAUCCGGUGGUUCUGAAUGGAAGGGCCAUCGCUCAACGGAUAAAAGGUACUCCGGGGAUAACAGGCUGAUACCGCCCAAGAGUUCAUAUCGACGGCGGUGUUUGGCACCUCGAUGUCGGCUCAUCACAUCCUGGGGCUGAAGUAGGUCCCAAGGGUAUGGCUGUUCGCCAUUUAAAGUGGUACGCGAGCUGGGUUUAGAACGUCGUGAGACAGUUCGGUCCCUAUCUGCCGUGGGCGUUGGAGAAUUGAUUGGGGCUGCUCCUAGUACGAGAGGACCGGAGUGGACGCACCACUGGUGUUCCGGUUGUGUCGCCAGACGCAUUGCCGGGUAGCUAAGUGCGGAAGAGAUAAGUGCUGAAAGCAUCUAAGCACGAAACUUGCCAAGAGAUGAGUUCUCCCAGAUUACAAAUCUGUAAGGGUUGUUUAAGACUAAGACGUAGAUAGGCAUGGUGUGUAAGCGGUGCGAGCCGUUGAGCUAACAUGUACUAAUUGCCCGAGAGGCUUAACUAU